UGAGGAAUCUUGCGCAAUGGGGGAAACCCUGACGCAGCCCACGCCGCGUGGGUGAAAGGAAGGCCCUUCGGGUUGAUAAAGCCCUGUCAGGUGGGAAGAACCGCAGUCUGGCCAAUACCUGGACUGCUUGACGGUACCACCAAAGGAAGCACCGGCUAACUCCGUGCCAGCAGCCGCGGUAAUACGGAGGGUGCAAGCGUUGUUCGGAAUUACUGGGCGUAAAGCGCGUGUAGGCGGACCGGUAAGUUGGGAGUGAAGCCCUGGGCUCAACCCAGGAAGUGCUUCCAAUACUGCCGGCCUUGAGUUCCGGAGAGGGUGGUGGAAUUCCCCGGUGUAGAGGUGAAAUUCGUAGAUAUCGGGAGGAACACCAGUGGCGAAGGCGACCACCUGGACGAGAACUGACGCUGAGACGCGAAA
rnacentral:rRNA from 1 species